UUCUUGUUGCCAAUUGAUUUGGAGUCCAACGGAGCUCCCAUCCAGCGGAAUCGGGAGCGUGGAAAAACCAUUUUUAGUUGGGGGGUUAGAGAACGGAUCUAUUUUAGUUUGGUCGCCAACGGAAAAGGAAAUACAACCAAGUUUGUUUUUCGAUGGACAUUCCCAAAAACUGUGUCAAAUCUUAUUUUCGCCUAACGGACGCUAUCUCGCAUCGACCGACUAUGAAGGACAAUUGGUUAUCUGGUCCACCGAGAAUUGGGAGAUGAUCUACACUUUAUCACCGUCAGGGUUUCACCACCGGUGCUCAAUGUCUUGGGACUCGGCCAGUUGCAAGUUGGCCAUUUCAGAGGGAUCUGGUCAGAAAGAGUUAAGAAUUAUUGAAUACGUCACUGCUGAAAACCACUGUGCUACCUGUAAGAAUAUUUUACCAAAUCUGAAGCUGUGCACACGCUGCAGAACAGUCUCAUAUUGUGGCAAGGAAUGCCAACGUUCGGACUGGUCAAAUCAUAAAACUGUGUGCCACAAAAAGUAAUUUCUUUCCACCUUAAAUUAGUUCAAAAUCGAAUUGACAAAGCUCCUUCUCCAGCCUUUUAAAAAUCUCGUGGGAUUGAGAGAAAACCGUUUAACUGUUCUAAUCUAGACAAAGUCAUCAGCUGCUUAAU